AGCACAGUGGCUUAGUGGUUCGCACACUUGUCUCGCACUCCAGGGUUGUGGGUUCGAAUCCCGCCUCUGGAG